UGUGAUAUUUUAUAUAUCUCUGUAAUAAAUAGAUUUAUGAAAAUGUGUUAAACUCUAAUUAUAUGUUUGUUUUGGUGAAAUUGAGAACUCUUAAAAAAUAGAGAUCAGUUUGAUUUCUGAAAGUACAAUAUAUCGUUUCUCAUUAAUUGGUUGAGGAUGUACAAAUAUGUUACGUAACUAGUAUAGUAAGCUUGUAAUUAGAUUCGUUUAAUGUUGAUUCUAAUAUUAGAAUGUAAUUGAACUGGUGUCAGUGGGUGGACAUGUUCUAUAUUAGGAUCUAUUGAGAAUCUGUUGACGUGCAAUUAGUAAUCACUAUCUGUAAUAGCAAGUGGUUGAAAUUAAUACGGCUUCGAUCACUGGGAUUAAUGCUGAUUAGAAAUUGUUUGCGGAAAUUGUUGUUGUCGUUGGACGAUGUUAAUUUAGGUUACGUGUUUGGGAGAAUUAGAGAACGCUUUGUAAGUGCGAAACUCGUAACCUGAAACCAAGUCAACUCAUGGUCAGAAUAAAGACCAUAGAGAUGGAGAAAGAUAAAAAGAAAACACGUACAGCUUGAUGGCCGAAAUUUCGACACGAAACAAAUCGAGGAUCGUUCGACGUGUAUCUGGUUAAUCGUCCGAGGAUUAAACGUCCGUCGCGGUGUCGUUAUGAAUAUUCAUAGAGUGGUCUUUUGUCGGUAAGCAAGAUUUGGAAAAGCAAGGUAGUCGGCGUCGUUCAAAGAGAUAUAUCGAGCCACGAGUUUACCUAGACACCGGUUUCUAGACGAACACUGCUUCUGCCCUGCCCCACCACGACAAGAUUUGUGCAUUAGGCAGAGGUAAACGCGAUUUUGGGCAACAUUUGACCGCUUUUUUACCGGCCAUGCCAUCCAACCGUCGCAGGCUGCGACAGAUUGCCAAAGACUUUAUGUAAUUGGAAUUUAAUUAUAGUAGCAUAGUAACAUGCAUUUGAUUUUUUGUAUUUGAUCUUAAUUUCUUAGAUUAUAUCACAUUGAUGUUGAUACAUUAAUCUAUAAAUUAGACCAGUUCUAAAGCAUACAGUUUUAAUCCACUUGUUCAAAAUUUAUUUUCUUUCACUACAGUAUAGUAAAGUAGAAAAUGCAAAUGCAAAACCUUUUCUCUUAAAAUCUAAACUAUACAAAAGCAAAUUACUUGCACAUUAAAUUAAUUACACAGUGUAAAGUUUAGCUUGCAAAUGCUUUCAACUUAUAAAAUAGAAACUACUCAAAAAUACGUCACUUAAAAAUUAAAUUGGGUACAUAGCAUAACAACUAAACUCACAUCUCUCAGUUCUGUAAACCUAACACGCAAGAUGCUUUUUGUCAUAAAUGUACCGGUGCAGGUGCUCUUCUUGGAAUAAAGGUUAAAGACCCUUGGUAUGGGGAGUUAAUUUUAGUAUGCAGGUAUUAUUUAGAAUUUUAUUACUUUUUGAGAUUAUAGCGUAAAUUCUGUACCGUUGAAUGCUGUGAGCACUUUAAUACUCGUGUAUUGACAUUUUUUUCAUGUUGAUGUGGUUAUGUUAAAGUAUCCCUAAUAAAAUGUUACUUUUCUUGUUUUUAGUGAAUUCUUGUGCUCGGUGUUGGUUUUUAAUGAACGUAGAAUUAAAUGGUACAAGGAGAAAGUCGAAGCAAAUGGUCGGAUAAGGUUUGACGUUGUUGGUUGGAAUUUUUAAAUGAGACACGCAAAUUUCUGAUUCCUGUUAAAGGGAAUUUUUCUUUUUGGAGGAACAAUGAAAUAAUUUAAAUAAUUUGGUCAUUUAUUAAAAUGGACGUAUUUCGUGAUUAUUAAAAAUCUGAGUAUUCGUUAAAAUUGUAGAAUAUCUUCACAUGGUAGAAAUUUAAACGUGCUCGUUUCAAAAUUUCAGCUAAAUAUUUGCUCAAAAUUUCAUGGUGUUUAAUAUUUUCUCAUAAGAAAUAUAUUUAUUUGAAAAACUAAAUCUUCCAAAACAUCUUCAUUUCUAAAAGCAUUACCAUGCAUCACGUUACACUUCUCUUAAAAUCAUGCUACAUUUCCAAGCAAUAAUUCUUGAACUAAAACAUAAUGUACGAAUUAUUCUUGGCCUAAACGCUCUGAAUAAUGUUUCUACUCGGUAUCUCAAACAAAUCUUCCACUAAAUUUGUUUGAAAUAACUGAAAUACCAUCUCGUAGACGUAACUUUCGCAAACAUUUGGAAUAUUCGGCUGUUUCAAACUAAUUUACAACGGCAGAAACAGAGUUUCACGGAGAUCCAAGGCUCGAUCCAAGAUCAGAGAAUUCGCGACUUCAUUUACCGACUGCGAGGCGUCUCGAAAGGAGGUCGUGUAGGGUUCACUGAAGACCCUGACUGUUCCAGAGCUCGAGUAUUAAAUAUUGCAGGCGCGGCAAACGAAAGCUACAACUCGACCGCUGCAUUCCGGGAGUUCUUUAGAAUCGUGCGAAUUCACCGGUGCGCUCGCGCCAUUUUCCACCGACGCUCAAUUUUCCCCUUCGCGAUCCCGGAUCAUUUUUUUAUCCCUCUACAUCACCGUAGAACUUGAAACACAUGUAUUCACAUGUGUGUUUACACCUUUCUAAAUUUUAUUUCAAUUUAUUUCUUCUAUCUAUAUUCUUCUAAUCUAUAUCUCUUUACAUUUUGUUUUCGUAUCUUUUGAUGCGUGUGUUUAUAUCUUUCCAUAUUUUGUUUUAAGCGAGUAUUGUGUUAUACAGGGUGGUUGGUAACUGGUGGUUGGUACAAACGGAAAGGGGGUGAUUCUAGGCGAAAAAAGAAGUCGAAAAUAUAGAAUAAAAAUUUUUUUUAUUUUUUUCUUUUAAUUUUUCCAUCGAGACAACGAUCUACAGUGAGAUCCGUUGUAACGAGACGCGAUAAAGUGCACGCGUACCGAGCGAAAAUUCAAAGUCGAUUUUCUCGAAAACAAAGCCUCGAACGAAAAAUUUGUAUUCUAUAUUUUCGACUUCUUUUUUCGCGUAGAAUCACCCCCUUUCCGCUUGUACCACCAGUUACCAACCACCCUGUAUAUUAUUGUGUUAUAUGUUAUGUUACGUUAUAUAUAUUAUAUUUGUUUUCAAACGCAAUUAAACGUUAUUAUAUUAUGUUGUAUUAUUAUUAUGUAUACUACAUUUGUGUCUAAUGUAAGCUAUAAGAAACAGUCGUGAAGAAAUGCUAGAAUAAUUAUUUUUAAAAUAAGAAAAUGUAUAUUAAGGAAACUAAUCCGGUAUGCUAAGGAAGCUUUUUCCAAUAAACGUAAGAUCUGAUAUACAAUAAAUUAUUGU